AUACCAAAAAUACAAUGCAGCUUGAGAACAAUAUUAUAAAAAUAUAAUUUUUCAACAAUGCUUGAGAAACACUUAUGUUCCACAAACAUUUCUCAAAUCUGUCCCUUGUUGACAAAUUAGUUUUGAUUUUUUGUGAAAAUUGUCAGCAAGAAAUUAUUUUCUUUGGCAGAAAACAAAAUCACGCGAAUUUAGGACCCAUUUCUGGACCGAACCCUUAAGUUUGGAAGCAUCAAAAAAGUUGAAGGAAUUCAAUAGAUGUGUAGUCUUAGUGGAAGAGAUGCAGAAGUUCAAAUAAGGGAGAAGAAAGCGUCAGGGUAUCAAGGCCACAUGAGGCAGUGACUACUGGGAUGUCCAUUAAGAAAAAAAUGUGAAAAAUUAUUAAAAAUUAAAAAAAUAAUAAUAUUAUAUACUAUUACAAAAAUAA